rnacentral:lncRNA from 1 species
UGAAAUUUCAUCCUCGAAAUUGACGUACGUACCUGGUGUUUCGAAAAGAUGAGGAUACCUCGCUUUCAUUUCCGUUUCCAACUCCCAGGUCAUUUCCUCAAUAGCAUGAUUCCUCCACAAAACUUUAACUUGUGGUAUGACCUUUGUGCGUAGGACAUGCUCCUUCCUAUCCAAGAUCUUGACAGGUACCUCUUCGUACGUUAAGUCUUCGGCUAUCUCGUCCGGUUCUAACUCAAUAACGUGGUUCGGGUCUUU